CCCGGCCAUGCCAUAAAGAGGCGAGGCGAGCCACCGGAUGUUGCUAAUUCCGUCGCAAACGCUCGGAGGAUCAAGAUGAACCACAGUACGCUGCUCCUGCUCGGUGCCGCCGCGUUUGCCUGCACGAUCGGUCUGUGCAGGGCCGGCGUCUACAAGGACCUGGCCGAAUGCACCACGGAGAAUGUGGAGAAGUGCGGCGUGGACUUCGUGCCUUACUUUGGCGGAAAUACCUUGGCUGUGAACGCGGCUGACCUCGAGAAGCAGUGCACCGAGUACCUGACCCAGCUCAAGUGCUCGGACGACUUCUCCGUAAAGUGUCUGGACGGCUUGCCCAAGGGCACCAUCCUGCUCAUGCUCAGGGCGGCUCGGGACGAGUACGACGCCAUCUGCAAUGUCACGAGCCCCAGGCAUCAGGAAUACCUGAAGAACGUCGGAUGCAUCAACAAGGCCGGCCCGGCUCUGACCUCUUGCAUGAACAACCUGUUCGUGGGUCUGCACAGAUCGGCAGGGAAGGCCGCCGACCGCCUUAAGAUCCCGUACACCUGCUGCUACUACGCCGACUUCGCCAGCUGCGCCACCAGUGGCCUGAAGACCAAAUGCGGCGAUAAGGAGGCCGAGGCCUUUUUCGACACCAUCAUCCAACACGUCUUCGGCGAGGUGCUCGACCUGGCCUGCGGCAAGUACAGGGCCGGUUCGGAAGCCUGCAAGAGCCUGACGCCCCUGCCGACCGUGGACGACGCCCGCGCUAAGGACAAGGGCUUCAUCGAACCCCUGACCGUUAUCGCCAGCAAGCUGGGCUAGCGUCGGCAUCGAUGCGGCAAGGGCGGCACGGACGAAACGAGCAAGAGCGCUGGACGCCAUAAGGGAUAAAGUUCUGUACAUAUACGCAUAUUCAUAUCACAACCUGCCGGGAUGUCACCUACGCGUUGAAGUGUUUUCGUUUCUUUUUAAAGAUGCCGUCGAUGCUACGGUCACUGACGGCCCAAGAAGCGCAAGUCAUUGCGAGUCCCGUCAUCUUAUUGUUCCGCAGUUAAAAAGAUUGCGACCCGAUCAGAAUGGUGAAGGACGAAUUAGCAAGCGGUAGCUGGAAAGCAAGAACUACGCCCUGCGUUCCUUGUCAGUAACUAUAGGAGACAUUACGAAUCAGACCUAAAGGGCAAGACCACGUCAGUACACCAGAAGACAGUACGACUCAUACCUGAAGGGCAAGGCCACGGAUCAUUCACAUCGCUCGAUUGGUCGAGCCGGUGAACGUACCGAUAUAACGAACGAACAUUGCGGCAUUACACUUUUUGGCCCUGCUUGACUGGCUUUCGCAUGAAUGAAUGACGUUUUAUGCAUUUGUCAAUUAUGAAUGAGUGAAUUAAACUUGAGUUUCUAUAUA